UACAGGGGGGCAAGCGUUGUUCGGAAUUACUGGGCGUAAAGGGUUUGUAGGUGGCUUGCUCAGUCAGACGUGAAAUCCCUCAGCUUAACUGGGGAACUGCGUCUGAUACUGGCGAGCUUGAGUGCAGGAGAGGAACGCGGAAUUCCAGGUGUAGCGGUGAAAUGCGUAGAUAUCGUAAGGAAGACCAGUGGCGAAGGCGGGGUCUCUGGACAGUUCCUGACGCUGAGGCACGAAGGCCAGGGGAGCAAACGGG
rnacentral:rRNA from 1 species